GGCUGGUCCGAAGGUAGUGAGUUAUCUCACUCGAUUGUUCACAGUCAGUUACAGAUUGAACUCAUUGUUCCACUAUUUUCUCACUCCUCACUACUGCACUUGAUUAGUCUUAA
rnacentral:Y_RNA from 1 species